GCACGGUGUGUAUGCCAUCACCCUCUUCUCGGAAUUGGAUUUUUAACAUUGCAAUAAACUUUAUUACUGGCGGUUCAAGGAAGUUUUGUAAGCAAUGGCUGAUGGUGAGGAUAUUGAAAGUUCCAUGGACAAACAAUUCAACGAUAAUGACGGAGGUAAACCGGAUAAAAUGUUUACGUUGAAGAAGUGGAAUGCUGUGGCUAUGUGGAGCUGGAAUGUUGAGUGCGACACUUGCGCUAUUGGCAGAGUUCAAGUAAUGGCUGAGUGACUACCUUUUCUACUGUUAUUGUAUGUUAUACAAAGCUCCGUAAAGAGUUUUUAAUACAUUAUCCGGAAUCAGUUCAAAGAAUUGUGUUAAUAGUAAAUUGUACAUUGUGCCUUGCUGUUAAGAAGAGCUCCACUUGAAUUAUCUACUAGAAUAUUUUGCAAAGAACGUAUAAUAUUUUAUUUUAGACGUUUUCUAUACUUGUUGAGUUUCUGGAAACUCUUUAAAAUUUAUACUCUGUUUCAGAUAGUACCUUUCUUUAAUUAAUAUAAUAUUAUUCGAAUUUUGUACAACUAGGUACCGUAUAUUAUUAUUCUUUAUUUUAAACGGUGUAAUUGUUUUUCAAUAACGGAGAGUAACUUCGGUGUGUAUUUUUCACUUAAUUGAAUUCAGUAGUAUGAAUAUUCUCUUAACUAUUUAAUUUCCUCAAGGCUGCAACAUAAACCUUUAAACUGCAGAAGGUCACUUAACUGGUGUGUAUACCGAUUACUUUGGCGGAGGGGUAAAAAAACCGAAUUUCCGUAUAAAUGGGGUAUGUGCGGAUAGGGGAGCUUCUCCAGAGAAGAAAUAGCCAAAAAUAAUAUAAAAAUAACUUUUAUUUUUUAAAAUAUUCACGAUUAAAAGUUCAAAAAUUUGCACUAAUAA